AUUUACACCUUCCCCCUGAAUGAUGAAGCUAUCCUCCAUAUAAUCCUCAAGACCCACGUGAGGGACUCUAUUAUUUGAUGCUCUCAUCGUUCCAUCUAGUAUAGGUGGGUAGCAAAGUGGUAUUUUUUCAACACUGAGAUGAGGCUUCGUGCAAGUCAAAUGAGGCAUACUUGGCAAAUUAGACGCAUCCCUUUCUUCAAUUAAACUCAUGCCAUUAUGUUGCGCACGGAGUAAAGCACCAGCAACUGAAGGACUUGUUACGGGAGAGGCCAAGUUUGAUGCUGGAAUUCCCCUCUGCCAACAGUAUCCAGACAACUCUUUUGUUCCCUGCUGUGGAGAACUCGUAAGACUGUCGCAACAAUUUGAUUGAAAAGGUAAACCAUUCACUUGACCAGGUAUAUAUUGUGACCCCAAUG
rnacentral:lncRNA from 1 species